rnacentral:tRNA from 1 species
GGUAAUAGCUCAGUGGUAGAGCACACGCUUAGCGUGUGUGAGGUCCUGGGUUUUAUCCCCAGUACUUCCA